rnacentral:lncRNA from 1 species
GCCAGGGCGUGGCUUUAGGUAUGGCGUAAUAAUGAUUUUGUCAGCUGCCUGCCAUUUCCAACAAUCUGUCAAGGUGGGUGGGACAUGCGGCGAAUGCAGGCCGGCCAGCGGAGAUCCGCAAUCAUAAAUGCACCGGAUCUCGGGGUCUAUUUAAACACGUUCUCCUCCUUCAUGGGUUUCACUUUGCUUGAGAGAAUCCCUCAAUUCCCCUCCUUUUCCCCA